UAUAUAAUAGAACACUAAACACUAUUUAUGUAAAUGCCCAUUUUUAAGUUUGUAAAAUAAUAAUUUGUUUUUAUAAAAAAUCUGGCUAUGCCUAUAGUACUUUUAACAAAAUUAUGACUAAAAAUAUUAUGAACGUCGAGUCUCUAGAUUCAUCAUCUUUGUGUGUCUGAUAAACCCAGAGAAUGAAGAUAUAGAAUCUAUAUAGGCCCCCUAUUAUAUAGAAUCUAGCUUUAGUUGACUCUAGACUAGAUCUAGGAUAAUUUCAAGUCUAGAUGUUCAGCUUCAUCUUACCUUGAUCAUGAUGAUUAAUUUUAAUCUGACUUCCUGACUUGUUAACUUAAACUUCGUCUUACUUAUAGCCCUUAGGCGCCUUAGCCUUAGCUUCUUCAUAUGUGAAUCAUGAAUGGAAGUGCUUGGCUCACAGUGUCACAGAUCGUUCUUUAAACUAUUUGAAGAUCUACUUUAUCUUUACUAACGACUCUAAUCUAUAUCUAGUUUAUGUCUAUAUUUUAUAUGAUAAUAAUAGACAUAGACUCUUAUACUUAUAAUAAAGACAAAGUAAUAAGAUCUAGAUCUAGAAUCUGUAUCUAGAUCUAUUCCCAUUUGUGAUUUAUACACUACAGAUUUAAUGUUUCUGAUGAGCAAUACUACUAUCUACAGCCAUGCCCAUUAACAUAGGCCCUACUCAUGUACUAGAUCUAGCUCUUUUGAUCACAACUCAUAUCUUGCCUAGAUAUAAACAACUGUACUAGAUUGGACUAGACAUUCUAAUCGGUUCUAUUUUCGUUUUUCAUUAUUCUCACAUAUUCUAGUAGGCAAUAGGUACCAAAUUGUGCUAUUUAUUCACUGUAGAUCUAGAUCUUAACUUUUCUCUUAACUACCAAAGAAGUACACAAAGGAUGUUGAAAGGUACCCAAAGGGCUCUUAUUGCUACCAUUCAAUGUGUGGAAUCAAGUAUUUACCCAGAUACUGCCACAAUAUGCUCUUAUUGUUUUCAAAGGAGUUUUCACACAGUGCCAGAAGCUGUAUAAAUACAUUUAACAAUGUAUAUUUCAAGAAGAAAUGAUGCUUUCUUAUUUCUAAGAGUUUAUCAAUAGGAUGAAUGCCACAAAACUCACUUGUUAUGCCAGAAACUCUUCCUACGAAACUACCAUACUAGAAUUUGUCCAGUGCCUGUGAUCCUCUGAGUUGAAGGAGAAUGUGCUCCAUAAUACCUACUAGGAGCUUGCUGAUAGCUGGAAGUUCAUGAAUACUAUGUUGUCCUUGAUUUGAUGAUUCUGAAAACUACCAUUUCUGAAGACUUGAGCAUUAUUUCUAUAAUUUAAAAAAAUCUUUUCAGGAAAUAUUGUGUUUAUAAUAUUAAGAAAGGGAAGAUAAUAUUGUUCUUACUAAUAUUAUUGACUUAUUAAAAUAGAAAGCACAUCAUUACCAAUAUUCACUUGUCAAUAAAUGUUAGCAUUAUUCAAUUUUUAGUUACAUGUUCAAACUAUUAAAUUUUAUUAUUUAAAUUAUAGCAACUUUCUCUUUCAGUCCAGCUUAAGAUACAUUCCUGUAAAAAGUCUAUAAUAAUAAGUUAAUGUCGAUGUAGUAUUGUUCAGACACUUACAAGUUUAAUCAUCUAUACUUCACAAAAAAAAAGUGUUUGAAUGGUUUUCAUUUGUUUGUACAUCAAAUAUGUAUUAAUAUAUUUAUCAUUUUUAGAUGAAACAUUAAAUACUGAAGAUGACCAUCUCAAUUUCUGAUGUAGGCCUAUUCUCAUUUCAUGAAAUAAACAAAAUAUUAUCUGAAAUUUCAUCCCUUCAUGGUAACUGUAACUGGCUUCAUAAAAAAAUGGAGUGAUGACUGGGUUGACUAUACAUUUUUGUAUAAAUAAUGCAUCAAUGAAUGUA